rnacentral:rRNA from 1 species
CCUACGGGUGGCAGCAGUGGGGAAUAUUGCACAAUGGGGGAAACCCUGAUGCAGCGACGCCGCGUGAGUGAAGAAGUAAUUCGUUACGUAAAGCUCUAUCAGCAGGGCAGAAACACUGACCUUACGGUCAGCAGACGGUACCUGAGUAAGAAGCCCCGGCGAACUACGUGCCAGCAGCCGCGGUAAUACGUAGGGGGCAAGCGUUAUCCGGAUUUACUGGGUGUAAAGGGAGCGUAGACGGUGCGCCAAGUCUGGAGUGAAAUGCCGGAGCUUAACUGCGGAACUGCUUUGGAAACUGGCGAACUAGAGUGCGGGAGGGGUAAGCGGCAUUCCUAGUGUAGCGGUGACAUGCGUAGAUAUUAGGAGGAACACCGGUGGCGAAGGCGGCUUACUGGACCGUAACUGACGUUGAGGCUCGAAAGCGUGGGGAGCAAACAGGAGUAGAUACCCCAGUAGUC